GCAGUACGCGGGGAUACCGCGCGUGGGAGCAGCACUUACGGCGGCGUUGCGGCCAGGGAAGCCUCGCCAGUAUAUCUCAGUGAGGGAGAGCACCUGAGCACGACUGGUUAUUUUUCCAAUCAGUAAAAAUAUUCCCGCUGACUAGGGACUAAAGAAAGCCCUGCGGAUAGAGCCGGAGCUCCCCACCGCAGCUGCCCCGAGGGAGCCCAGACGCUUCUCAGGGGACGCUUGCUCCCCUCAUCACAUCUGGUUGGGGGAGGGUGAGGAUGCGUUAGGGAGUAGGCAUUGGCCUGUGUGGGCCAGCUAACAAAAGGAGGGUUUAGGCAUUGAAGAAAGUGACAAGUGAAGGCUCCCUCACCGGAACCACCACCAUCCCCAUUGCCCCGGUUCCUAAUCCUGUAGAGCUGCUGUGAUAGGCGUUUACUUUUCUCUUCAACGUGGAACUGGCCUAAGUUACUCCUCAAGAGAUGCUUUUCUUUUGGUAGAUUCUUGAAGUCCUCAAGGAAAGAGGAUGUUACACGGAACUUGACACUAGCCUGGGGACUGUUACAGGGCCAGCCCACGGCUUGUCAAAUCACACCUGGUACCGUCAACCCCACCUGCAUCUAAGACUCAGUGUGCCUGGCAGCGAGUGCAUUUCAGACUUUGCAUUUCCACUUUAAGACUCAAAUAGCCCGCACCAGGGCAGAUGAUUUGCCAGCGCCUUCUCUUAAGUGCCUUCAAUAAACAAGUACGGUAAUUACAGAAGAGUUUGAGGCUUUGGGCAGCACUAAUCAACCAAGGUAAAGUGAGAAUUUUUUAAUGACUCAUUGUCUAAACAAAGGAACUUUGAUUUUUUGGUUCUACGUCUUUAUAUGGAAAUGUUAUUAGAACAAACAACACAGAAAAGGCUAGUGAAAAAUUGUUAUACUAGAGAAUGACAACCAUUGGUACUGUGUUUCUUACAUGAAAUCCAAAAA
rnacentral:lncRNA from 1 species